ensembl:snoRNA SNORA71 Small nucleolar RNA SNORA71
CCCUGCAUCCGAAAGUGAUCAUAGGCUGCCCGUGCCCUGGUCAUUGGUAGUGCAGGGAAAGGAUGCUGAAAGAUGGGUUCUCUGUUUGGAGGGUCCAUCGUGAGCCCUCCCAACCCUGAAGCUUUCCCACA